UACGGAGGGUGCAAGCGUUAUCCGGAUUCACUGGGUUUAAAGGGUGCAUAGGCGGGCAGGUAAGUCCGUGGUGAAAUCUCUGAGCUUAACUCAGAAACUGCCAUGGAUACUAUUUGUCUUGAAUAUUGUGGAGGUAAGCGGAAUAUGUCAUGUAGCGGUGAAAUGCUUAGAUAUGACAUAGAACACCAAUUGCGAAGGCAGCUUACUACACAGUUAUUGACGCUGAGGCACGAAAGCGUGGGGAUCAAACAGG
rnacentral:rRNA from 1 species